CAGCAGCCACGGGAAUACAGAGGGUGCGAGCGUUAAUCGGAUUUACUGGGCGUAAAGCGUGCGUAGGCGGCUUCUUAAGUCGGAUGUGAAAUCCCUGAGCUUAACUUAGGAAUUGCAUUCGAUACUGGGAAGCUAGAGUAUGGGAGAGGAUGGUAGAAUUCCAGGUGUAGCGGUGAAAUGCGUAGAGAUCUGGAGGAAUACCGGUGGCGAAGGCGGCCCCCUGGACAAAGACUGACGCUCAGGUGCGAAAGCGUGGGGAGCAAACAGGAUUAGAUACCCCUGUAGUCCCUGUCUCUUAUAC
rnacentral:rRNA from 1 species